rnacentral:rRNA from 1 species
AUUGAACGCUGGCGGCAGGCUUAACACAUGCAAGUCGAGCGAGCGGCGGACGGGUGAGUAAUGUCUGGGAAACUGCCUGAUGGAGGGGGAUCACUACUGGAAACGGUAUCUAAUACCGCAUUCCAUCAGAUGUGCCCAGAUGGGAUUAGCUAGUAGGUGGGGUAAUGGCUCACCUGGGCGACGAUCCCUAGCCGGUCUGAGAGGAUGACCACCAACACGGGAACUGAGACACGGUCCAGACUCCUACGGGAGGCACAAGGGGGGAAUAUUGCAAAAUGGGCGCAAUCCUGAGACAGCACUGCCGCGUGGUGGAAAAAGGCCUGCGGGUGGUAAAGCAUGUUCAGCGAGGCGGCGUUACUCGAAGAAGAAGCACCGGCUAACUACGUGCCAGCAGCCGCGGUAAUAC